rnacentral:rRNA from 1 species
GUAGGUGGCAAGCGUUGUCCGGAAUUAUUGGGCGUAAAGACGCGCGCAGGUGGUUCGUUUAAGUCUGAUGUGAAAGACCCCCGGCCUCAACCGGGGAGGGGUCAUUGGAAACUGGGGAACGUUGAGUGCAGGAGAGGAAAGUGGAAUUCCACGUGUAGCGGUGAAAUGCGUAGAUAUGUGGAGGAACACCAGUGGCGAAGGCGACUUUACUGGCCUGUAACUGACACUGAGGCGCGAAAGCGUGGGGAGCAAACAGGGAUUAGAUACCCUGGUAGUCCACGCCGUAAACGAUGAGUGCUAAGUGUUGGGGGGGUUUCCGCCCCCUCAGUGCUGCAGCUAACGCAUUAAGCACUCCGCCUGGGAGUACGGUCGCAAGACUG